rnacentral:rRNA from 1 species
UACGUAGGGUGCGAGCGUUGUCCGGAAUUAUUGGGCGUAAAGAGCUCGUAGGCGGUCUGUCACGUCGGGAGUGAAAACUCGGGGCUCAACCCCGAGCCUGCUUCCGAUACGGGCAGACUAGAGGUAUGCAGGGGAGAAUGGAAUUCCUGGUGUAGCGGUGAAAUGCGCAGAUAUCAGGAGGAACACCGGUGGCGAAGGCGGUUCUCUGGGCAUUACCUGACGCUGAGGAGCGAAAGUGUGGGGAGCGAGCAGG